AGGUAACCUGCCUGCAAGACCGGGAUAACAUUCGGAAACGAAUGCUAAUACCGGAUACGCGACUCUCUCGCAUGGGAGAGUCGGGAAAGACGGAGCAAUCUGUCACUUGCAGAUGGACCUGCGGCGCAUUAGCUAGUUGGUGAGGUAAGGGCUCACCAAGGCGACGAUGCGUAGCCGACCUGAGAGGGUGAUCGGCCACACUGGGACUGAGACACGGCCCAGACUCCUACGGGAGGCAGCAGUAGGGAAUCUUCCGCAAUGGGCGAAAGCCUGACGGAGCGACGCCGCGUGAGUGAUGAAGGUUUUCGGAUCGUAAAGCUCUGUUGCCAGGGAAGAACGCUAUGGAGAGUAACUGCUCCAUAGGUGACGGUACCUGAGAAGAAAGCCCCGGCUAACUACGUGCCAGCAGCCGCGGUAAUACGUAGGGGGCAAGCGUUGUCCGGAAUUAUUGGGCGUAAAGCGCGCGCAGGCGGCUAAUUAAGUCUGGUGUUUAAUCCCGGAGCUCAACUCCGGGUCGCACGGGAAACUGGUUGGCUUGAGUACAGAAGAGGAAAGUGGAAUUCCACGU
rnacentral:rRNA from 1 species